ACUGCGGUCUACCAUGCAAGUCGAACGAUGAACCUCCUUCGGGAGGGGAUUAGUGGCGAACGGGUGAGUAACACGUGGGCAAUCUGCCCUUCACUCUGGGACAAGCCCUGGAAACGGGGUCUAAUACCGGAUAACACUGCGGAUCGCAUGGUCUGCGGUUAAAAGCUCCGGCGGUGAAGGAUGAGCCCGCGGCCUAUCAGCUAGUUGGUGGGGUAAUGGCCUACCAAGGCGACGACGGGUAGCCGGCCUGAGAGGGCGACCGGCCACACUGGGACUGAGACACGGCCCAGACUCCUACGGGAGGCAGCAGUGGGGAAUAUUGCACAAUGGGCGAAAGCCUGAUGCAGCGACGCCGCGUGAGGGAUGACGGCCUUCGGGUUGUAAACCUCUUUCAGCAGGGAAGAAGCGAAAGUGACGGUACCUGCAGAAGAAGCGCCGGCUAACUACGUGCCAGCAGCCGCGGUAAUACGUAGGGCGCAAGCGUUGUCCGGAAUUAUUGGGCGUAAAGAGCUCGUAGGCGGCUUGUCACGUCGGAUGUGAAAGCCCGGGGCUUAACCCCGGGUCUGCAUUCGAUACGGGCAGGCUAGAGUGUGGUAGGGGAGAUCGGAAUUCCUGGUGUAGCGGUGAAAUGCGCAGAUAUCAGGAGGAACACCGGUGGCGAAGGCGGAUCUCUGGGCCAUUACUGACGCUGAGGAGCGAAAGCGUGGGGAGCGAACAGGAUUAGAUACCCUGGUAGUCCACGCCGUAAACGUUGGGAACUAGGUGUUGGCGACAUUCCACGUCGUCGGUGCCGCAGCUAACGCAUUAAGUUCCCCGCCUGGGGAGUACGGCCGCAAGGCUAAAACUCAAAGGAAUUGACGGGGGCCCGCACAAGCAGCGGAGCAUGUGGCUUAAUUCGACGCAACGCGAAGAACCUUACCAAGGCUUGACAUCGCCCGGAAAGCAUCAGAGAUGGUGCCCCCCUUGUGGUCGGGUGACAGGUGGUGCAUGGCUGUCGUCAGCUCGUGUCGUGAGAUGUUGGGUUAAGUCCCGCAACGAGCGCAACCCUUGUUCUGUGUUGCCAGCAUGCCCUUCGGGGUGAUGGGGACUCACAGGAGACUGCCGGGGUCAACUCGGAGGAAGGUGGGGACGACGUCAAGUCAUCAUGCCCCUUAUGUCUUGGGCUGCACACGUGCUACAAUGGCCGGUACAAAGAGCUGCGAAGCCGCGAGGCGGAGCGAAUCUCAAAAAGCCGGUCUCAGUUCGGAUUGGGGUCUGCAACUCGACCCCAUGAAGUCGGAGUUGCUAGUAAUCGCAGAUCAGCAUUGCUGCGGUGAAUACGUUCCCGGGCCUUGUACACACCGCCCGUCACGUCACGAAAGUCGGUAACACCCGAAGCCGGUGGCCCAACCCCUUGUGGGAGGGAGCUGUCGAAGGUGGGACUGGCGAUUGGGACGAAGUCGAACAGAGCGCG
rnacentral:rRNA from 1 species